AAUUUGAUACCCAUAUCGGCAUAUUUUUCAGCUUAUACUUUUUUUAAAUUUUUUAGACAGUUGGCAACUCUACACAAAAAAUAUUUUAACUCUAAGCUUUCUGCAACUACUUUAGUUGGAUGCCCAUAUCGUCAUAUUUUUCACCGUAUACCCUUUCUUACUUAUAACUUUUUUAAAAAGUUGGUAACUCUAACCAAAAAAUAUUUUCAAUUUUAAGCUUUUUGAAACCACUUCAGUUUGAUACCCAUAUCGGUAUUUUUUUCAGCUUAUUGCUUUUUACUUAAAAUUGUUUUUAAAGGUGGUAACUUUAAAAAUAAAUAAAUUCAAGUGAAAGCUUUCUGAAACCUCUUUAGAUAGAUACCUACAUAUAUCGGCAUAUUUUUUCAGCUUAAGGUUUUUUUUUACAAAAUUUUUAAACAGUUGGCAACUCUCUUAAAAAACAGUUUCAGUUCUAGUUUCUUUCUAAAAUAUUUUCAACAACAAAGUCGAUUCGCUUCUUCAUCUUAUUAUUACUUUAUUAAAAUUGUAUAAAAAGGUGGCAACUCUACUCGAAAAAUAUUUUCAAGGCCAAGUUUCUGGUAAUCACUUCAUAACUAUAUACAUACAUACAUAUGUAUGUACGUACAUACAUAUAUGUAUGUAUAUAUGUAUGUAUAUCUUUGUUUUAUCAGUUUUACCGAAUAAUUCCAUUUUUAAACAGUUGGUAACUCUAAGCACAAAAUAUUUUCAAAUGUAAGCUUUCUUGACCAUAUUCAAUUUAAACCUCAUAAUGCAAUUAUAAACUGUUCAUCAUAUAAUUUUUUUACUCUGAAAUUUUAACACAUGUGGCAGCACUUGCCUUUUCUGUUUUAAUUUAAAUGUUGCGGAAGCCUCCUCAAGUUGAUACCCAUACGAGUAUAUCAUAUACUAUUACUUGUUUAAAAAAAAUUAAACAGGUGGCAACACCCCUCUAAACAUAUUUUCAAUUGAUAGCUGUCCUUAAUCCCUUUAGUUUGAUACCCAUAUCUUUGUUGUUUUAUUUAAUAAUUUUUUUAUAAUUAAAACCGGUUUUUGCUAGAUCAAAAUUUUUGGGUUUCUAGAUUAAUUUGUUUUAGUGUUAUAGCUUCUUAAAUACUUUUAAAAAUACCUGUGCGUGGCAAUAGUUUGAUUUUCUCCAUUUGCUAUAGUUUGGUUGCCCAAGAAUAACUUUGCUAAGUUCUGAUAAGUCAAAACGUCGUGAAGUCAGUCAACCGAAAACAUGGAGGAUUGUAGUGGCAGUGGUUCUUCUUAGGGCUCGACUAUCGUUGAAACGGUACAACUCAUAUUCUAUUAUUUUUAUCUUUAAUUUACUAUGUGUAUUAUUUGGGAGAUAUAAAUGUAUCAUGCAGCCUUAGAUUUCUUUUUUAUUUAUUUAUCCAAAAAAGCAUUAAAAAAUGGUUUAAAAAUAGGUAAACCUGCUUUAAAGUCGAGAAAAUGAUUGAUAGGACGCCGAAAAAGGCUUUUGAUUUUUAUUUUCAGAAAUUGUAUAACAUUUUUAAUAUUCAUAAGCAGGGUAUAAAUAUUGUAUUUGCUCACAAAAAGAGUUUUCAUGAAUGAGUAAGAACUCAGGGUAUAACGAGACCCAGUCCCCGAGGUACUGUACUUCAACUGUAUGAAUACACGCAACUGCUAAACUUAUGCGGAGUCUCAAAACCAAGUUGGAGAGCGUUAAAAGAUGAUAUUCUUCAUUUUGAUCGAAAUUUUUAAUAAAAAAAGUUAUAAAAAUCAAUAA